CAUAUACUAACAUGUAAGUCGCUUUGGAUAAAAGUGUUUGCUGAAUGGCAUAUA
rfam:Salmo salar isolate Sally breed double haploid chromosome ssa02, whole genome shotgun sequence.